CAGCCGUAAACUAUGCUCGCUAGGUGUCAGGCAUGGCGCGACCGUGUCUGGUGCCGCAGGGAAGCCGUGAAGCGAGCCACCUGGGAAGUACGGCCGCAAGGCUGAAACUUAAAGGAAUUGGCGGGGAGGCACAACAACGGGUGGAGCCUGCGGUUUAAUUGGACUCAACGCCGGACAACUCACCGGGGACGGACAGCAAUAUGUAGGCCAGGCUGAAGACCUUGCCUGAAUCGCUGAGAGGAGGUGCAUGGCGUAGACGUCU
rnacentral:rRNA from 1 species